AAGAUUCUCCUGCCUCAGCCUCCUGAGUGCUUGAAUUACAGGACUUUGUCUUCUCCAAAUCAAUAAACUCUUGAGAUAAAUUUACCUACCGCCAAUUCCUUUUGAAAUACUUGGUCAACAUCUUUGAAAGAAUGCUUGAUGAAGAUCUUGAUGGCCUCCCUCUCACAGGCCCUGUGCAGGUCCAGC